rnacentral:rRNA from 1 species
UACGUGGGGGGCUAGCGUUGUCCGGAAUCAUUGGGCGUAAAGCGCGCGUAGGCGGCCCGGUAAGUCCGCUGUAAAAGUCAAAGGCUCAACCUUUGAAUGUCAGUGGAUACUGCCGGGCUAGAGUCCGGAAGAGGCGAGUGGAACUCCUGGUGUAGCGGUGGAAUGCGCAGAUAUCAGGAAGAACACCGACGGCGAAGGCAGCUCGCUGGGACGGUACUGACGCUGAGGCGCGAAAGCGUGGGGAGCGAACAGG